CAAGCAGACAGCUCUGUGGACUGAAGUCUUUGUCAUCUCCUCUGUAGCGGCCCACAGCAAUGACAGGGUCUGACUAGGCCAUGGAACCAUGCAGCCCUCCCCACGAACACCAGCUUCUUAUCUCUUUAGACCUUCCGCAGCAGGGCAUGCAGUCCCCUCCCUCUCUCCCCGGAACCAGCCUUCCCACAAGUCCUCCAGUGUCAUCUAGGGAUCCAAAGGAGCUUCAUGACAGCAAAUGGGCAACCUUGGGACUUUUUUAGAACACGCUGUGCUGUGGAAACACUUCCCAUCUGAUAACUGCUCACUGGAUCUGAGAUGUGUGCCGGUUGCUGUCUUAGUCGUCUCGUUGCACCUAGCUCACUUCCUCCCAGAGAGCCAGCAAAAUCUGCAGCCCGGGGCUGCGGGCGAAAACUCCAUGGGGACUUUCUAGAGCAUGUUCUUUCUUUGCUCUUGCACAAUUCUAAUCAAAGCUAAUCACACCUAGUUUCCUAGUGAAAAAGAAAGCAAGAAAAAAGCCAGGAAG
rnacentral:lncRNA from 1 species